rnacentral:rRNA from 1 species
GACGUAGGUGGCGAACGUUAUCCGGAGUUACUGGGCGUAAAGAGUGCGUAGGCGGUUUUCUAAGUUUGGUGUGAAAUCUCCCGGCUUAACUGGGAGGGUGCGCCGAAAACUGGAAGGCUUGAGUAUGGGAGAGGUAAGCGGAAUUCCUGGUGUAGCGGUGAAAUGCGUAGAUAUCUGGAGGAACACCGGUGGCGAAGGCGGCAUCCUGGACCGGUAUUGACGCUGAGGCGCGAAAGCUAGGGGAGCAAACGGGG